rnacentral:rRNA from 1 species
CAACGACUCUCGACAACGGAUAUCUCGGCUCUCGCAUCGAUGAAGAACGUAGCGAAAUGCGAUACUUGGUGUGAAUUGCAGAAUCCCGUGAACCAUCGAGUCUUUGAACGCAAGUUGCGCCCGAAGCCCUUAGGCUGAGGGCACGUCUGCCUGGGUGUCACGC